UACGAAGGGGGCUAGCGUUGCUCGGAAUUACUGGGCGUAAAGGGCGCGUAGGCGGAUAGUUUAGUCAGAGGUGAAAGCCCAGGGCUCAACCUUGGAAUUGCCUUUGAUACUGGCUAUCUUGAGUUCGGGAGAGGUGAGUGGAAUGCCGAGUGUAGAGGUGAAAUUCGUAGAUAUUCGGCGGAACACCAGUGGCGAAGGCGGUUCUCUGGGCAUUACCUGACGCUGAGGAGCGAAAGCGUGGGGAGCGAACAGG
rnacentral:rRNA from 1 species